rnacentral:lncRNA from 1 species
AGCCGACUGAGCUCCAAGAAACAAAACUCUGAAUUGGGGUAUCAUUAAUUCAAGUAACCGUCUCUAAUAACACCUAUUUUCACAGCCUCGAGAUCUUCCUGUUUUUUUUUUUUGAACGAAUAGGAGGGGCUUGCGCCCCUACUAGAAUUUAUUAAAGUUAGGAGCAUGACACCAUAGAUAAAGCAUCAGCAGCCAUAUAUAUUAGUUGAUCCCUGCUUGAAGACAAUUCUAAAUUGGAGGUCCAUAAGCUUAAAAAGAGCCUUUAUUGAUCAGUUCUAAUCACAAACUCCUGUUGUUGGAGAUGGAGAUAUGGGCACCACUUAUCCACUGCCACGAUGAUAGCCAUGCAU